UUGUUUUUGAUAUAGAUUCAGACUCAGAAACUUAUCUUAGCAUAAAAGCGACGCCGAAGCGCCGAAGCACAUCUUGCUUCCACAUGUUUACAAGGUUGAAGGCCAUUCAGUAAUGAUCCCUCCGCAGGUUCACCUACGGAGA
rnacentral:misc_RNA from 1 species